GAUGAACGCUGGCGGCGUGCCUAAUACAUGCAAGUCGAUCGAACGGACGAGAAGCUUGCUUCUCUGAUGUUAGCGGCGGACGGGUGAGUAACACGUGGUUAACCUACCUAUAAGACUGGGAUAACUUCGGGAAACCGGAGCUAAUACCGGAUAAUAUUUUGGACCGCAUGGUUCAAAAGUGAAAGACGGUCUUGCUGUCCCUUAUAGAUGGAUCCGCGCUUCAUUAGCUAGUUGGUAAGGUAACGGCUUACCAAGGCAACGAUGCAUAGCCGACCUGAGAGGGUGAUCGGCCACACUGGAACUGAGACACGGUCCAGACUCCUACGGGAGGCAGCAGUAGGGAAUCUUCCGCAAAGGGCGAAAGCCUGACGGAGCAACGCCGCGUGAGUGAUGAAGGUCUUCGGAGCGUAAAACUCUGUUAUUAGGGAAGAACAUAUGUGUAAGUAACUGUGCACAUCUUGACGGUACCUAAUCAGAAAGCCACGGCUAACUACGUG
rnacentral:rRNA from 1 species